rnacentral:rRNA from 1 species
CCUACGGGUGGCAGCAGUGGGGAAUAUUGCACAAUGGGGGGAACCCUGAUGCAGCGACGCCGCGUGGGUGAGGAAGUACUUCGGUAUGUAAAGCCCUAUCAGCAGGGAAGAAAAUGACGGUGCCUGACUAAGAAGCCCCGGCUAACUACGUGCCAGCAGCCGCGGUAAUACGCGGGGGGCAAGCGUUAGCCGGAGUUACGGGGUUGAAAGGGAGCGUAGGCGGCGUGCCAAGUCUGGUGUGAAAGGCGGGGGCUCAACCCCAAGACUGCAUUGGAAACUGGCAUGAUGGAGUGCCGGAGGGGAGAGCGGAAUUCCUAGUGUAGCGGUGGAAUGCGUAGAUAUUAGGAGGAACACCGGUGGCGAAGGCGGCUUGCUGGACGGUAACUGACGUUGAGGCUCGAAAGCGUGGGGAGCAAACAGGAUUAGAUACCCUUGUAGUC